ACGCCAGACUCCUACGGGAGGCAGCAGUGGGGAAUAUUGCACAAUGGGGGGAACCCUGAUGCAGCGACGCCGCGUGAGUGAAGAAGUCAUUCGUGAUGUAAAGCUCUAUCAGCAGGGAAGAAAAUGACGGUACCUGACUAAGAAGCCCCGGCUAACUACGUGCCAGCAGCCGCGGUAAUACGUAGGGGGCAAGCGUUAUCCGGAUUUACUGGGUGUAAAGGGAGCGUAGACGGCAGCGCAAGUCCGAAGUGAAAGCCCGGGGCCCAACCCCGGGACUGCUUUGGAAACUGUGAAGCUGGAGUGCGGGAGGGGCAGGCGGAAUUCCUGGUGUAGCGGUGAAAUGCGUAGAUAUCAGGAGGAACACCGGCGGCGAAGGCGGCCUGCUGGACCGUAACUGACGUUGAGGCUCGAAAGCGUGGGGAGCAAACAGGAUUAGAUACCCGAGUACU
rnacentral:rRNA from 1 species